UGGGUUUUGAGUGAAAUCCAAUCUCUAGAACCAUACAACACACCAACCACUCCAUUUCAAAACGAACUUCAUACGAACCUGAAGGGUCCAAUUUCAUGGACCAAUCGAUCUCGGAUUGAGUCCGAAACCUGGGGAACAUCAUAAUGUAGUGGGAGGAGUCAUUUAGUGAGUUUUGAGGGAAAUCUAAUUGCCAAAACUAUGCAAUGCAC
rnacentral:lncRNA from 1 species